rnacentral:lncRNA from 1 species
GGGGGGGGGGAGGGGGAGGGGGGGGGGGAGGGAAGGAGAAGAGCCAAGCUGUUCAGAAGACAAGGAAAAGUUAUGUGACUCCUGAUGAAAUAUUCAUACACCAGGCUGGAGAUCUCAGAAGAGGGUGGAUUGCCACUCUGUUGAAGGUCUCUUUAACCAGAGACAUUCUGUAUUGGAAAGACAGGAACACAGUUUCCCUUGGUAGUCUGCUGAGCUAAGUCUUGGCCAGUUCCAGCUAUAUUCACAUCUGAGAUCUGAGGGACAACUCGAGCCAGAAGAGGGAUGGCUUCAGGCUGUAGCAUUAAUGCUAUUAAGAUUACUUUUUUAUUAAUGUGAAUGUUUUUGAUGUACAUUUAUGACCUAAUUCUCUACAUGGAAGAGUUUUGCUUUACAAAAUAAAUACUGCUAAACCCAUAUAGGGGAAAUCUAA